rnacentral:rRNA from 1 species
AACGAACGCUGGCGGCAGGCCUAACACAUGCAAGUCGAGCGGACCCUUCGGGGUUAGCGGCGGACGGGUGAGUAACGCGUGGGAAUAUGCCCUUCUCUACGGAAUAGUCCUGGGAAACUGGGGGUAAUACCGUAUACGCCCUUUGGGGGAAAGAUUUAUCGGGGAAGGAUUAGCCCGCGUUGGAUUAGGUAGUUGAUGGGGUAAUGGCCUACCAAGCCGACGAUCCAUAGCUGGUUUGAGAGGAUGAUCAGCCACACUGGGACUGAGACACGGCCCAGACUCCUACGGGAGGCAGCAGUGGGGAAUCUUAGACAAUGGGGGCAACCCUGAUCUAGCCAUGCCGCGUGAGUGAUGAAGGCCUUAGGGUUGUAAAGCUCUUUCAGCUGGGAAGAUAAUGACGGUACCAGCAGAAGAAGCCCCGGCUAACUCCGUG